CAAUAGCGUAUAUUUAAGUUGCUGCAGUUAAAAAGCUCGUAGUUGGAUUUCGGGUGGGAAUGGCCGGUCCGCCGUUUCGGUGUGCACUUGCUACGCCCACCUUGCUGCCGGGGACGUGCUCUUGAGUUCACGCUCGGGACACGGAGUCGGCGAGGUUACUUUGAGUAAAUUAGAGUGUUCAAAGCAGGCCUACGCUCUGAAUACAUUAGCAUGGAAUAACACGAUAGGACUCUGGCCUAUCUUGUUGGUCUGUAGGACCGGAGUAAUGAUUAAGAGGGACAGUCGGGGGCACUCGUAUUUCAUUGUCAGAGGUGAAAUUCUUGGAUUUAUGAAAGACGAACUACUGCGAAAGCAUUUGCCAAGGAUGUUCUCAUUAA
rnacentral:rRNA from 1 species